rnacentral:rRNA from 1 species
GCGAAAAGAACCCCGGCGAGGGGAGUGAAAAAGAACCUGAAACCGUGUACGUACAAGCAGUAGGAGCCUCUUUAUGGGGUGACUGCGUACCUUUUGUAUAAUGGGUCAGCGACUUAUAUUCUGUAGCAAGGUUAACCGUAUAGGGGAGCCGUAGGGAAACCGAGUCUUAACUGGGCGAAUGAGUUGCAGGGUAUAGACCCGAAACCCGGUGAUCUAUCCAUGGGCAGGUUGAAGAUUGGGUAACACUAACUGGAG